rnacentral:rRNA from 1 species
ACCCGCUGAACUUAAGCAUAUCAAUAAGCGGAGGAAAAGAAACCAACAGGGAUUGCCUCAGUAACGGCGAGUGAAGCGGCGACAGCUCAAAUUUGAAAUCUGGCCUUACGGUCCGAGUUGUAAUUUGUAGAGGAUGUUUUGGGUACCGCCGCGGGUUAAUUUUCUUGGAACAGAAAGCCAAAGAGGGUGAGAGUCCCGUCUUGGCCUGCGGUAGGGCUCGUGUAAAACUCCUUCGACGAGUCGACUAGUUUGGGAAUGCUGGUCAAAAUGGGUGGUAAAUGUCAUCUAAAGCUAAAUAUUGGCCAGAGACCGAUAGCGCACAAGUAGAGUGAUCGAAAGAUGAAAAGCACUUUGAAAAGAGAGUUAAACAGUAUGUGAAAUUGUUGAAAGGGAAGCGCAGGCAACCAGACUCGUGCGCGGGGUUCCCCCUUGCUUCUGCUUGGGUUAUUUCCCCGUGACCGGGCCAUCAUCAGUUUCGGGGGCCGGUUAAAGGCCCUGGGAAUGUACCCUCGCCUUCGGGAGAGGACUUAUAGCCCAGGGUGUCAUGCGGCCACUCGGGACUGAGGAACGCGCUUCGGCGAGGAUGAUGGCGUAAUGGUUGU